rnacentral:rRNA from 1 species
AAGGAGCUUGCUCCUUUGACGUUAGCGGCGGAGCCGGUGAGUAACACGUGGGCAACCUACCUUAUAGUUUGGGAUAACUCCGGGAAACCGGGGCUAAUACCGAAUAAUCUNUUUCACCUCAUGGUGAAAUAUUGAAAGACGGUUUCGGCUGUCGCUAUAGGAUGGGCCCGCGGNGCAUUAGCUAGUUGGUGAGGUAACGGCUCACCAAGGCGACGAUGCGUAGCCGACCUGAGAGGGUGAUCGGCCACACUGGGACUGAGACACGGCCCAGACUCCUACGGGAGGCAGCAGUAGGGAAUCUUCCACAAUGGGCGAAAGCCUGAUGGAGCAACGCCGCGUGAGUGAAGAAGGAUUUCGGUUCGUAAAACUCUGUUGUAAGGGAAGAACAAGUACAGUAGUAACUGGCUGUACCUUGACGGUACCUUAUUAGAAAGCCACGGCUAACUACGUGCCAGCAGCCGCGGUAAUACGUAGGUGGCAAGCGUUGUCCGGAAUUAUNGGGCGUAAAGCGCGCGCAGGUGGUUUCUUAAGUCUGAUGUGAAAGCCCACGGCUCAACCGUGGAGGGUCAUUGGAAANUGGGAGACUUGAGUGCAGAAGAGGAUAGUGGAAUUCCAAGUGUAGCGGUGAAAUGCGUAGAGAUUUGGAGGAACACCAGUGGNGAAGGCGACUAUCUGGUCUGUAACUGACACUGAGGCGCGAAAGCGUGGGGGAGCAAACANGAUUAGAUACCCGUGGUAGUCCACGCCGUAAACGAUGAGUGCUAAGUGUUAGGGGUGUUUCCGCCCCCUUAGUGCUGCAGCUAACGCAUUAAGCACUCCGCCCUGGGGAGUACGGUCGCAAGANUGAAACUCAAAGGAAUUGACGGGGGCCCGCACAAGCGGUGGAGCAUGUGGUUUAAUUCGAAGCAACGCGAAGAACCUUACCAGGUCUUGACAUCCCGUUGACCACUGUAGAGAUAUGGUUUCCCCUUCGGGGGCAACGGUGACAGGUGGUGCAUGGUUGUCGUCAGCUCGUGUCGUGAGAUGUUGGGUUAAGUCCCGCAACGAGCGCAACCCUUGAUCUUAGUUGCCAUCAUUUAGUUGGGCACUCUAAGGUGACUGCCGGUGACAAACCGGAGGAAGGUGGGGAUGACGUCAAAUCAUCAUGCCCCUUAUGACCUGGGCUACACACGUGCUACAAUGGACGAUACAAACGGUUGCCAACUCGCGAGAGGGAGCUAAUCCGAUAAAGUCGUUCUCAGUUCGGAUUGUAGGCUGCAACUCGCCUACAUGAAGCCGGAAUCGCUAGUAAUCGCGGAAUCC